UACGAAGGGAGCUAGCGUUGUUCGGAAUCACUGGGCGUAAAGCGCACGUAGGCGGAUGUGUCAGUCAGGGGUGAAAUCCCGGAGCUCAACUUCGGAACUGCCCUUGAUACAGCACGUCUUGAGUCCGGAAGAGGUGGGUGGAAUUCCUAGUGUAGAGGUGAAAUUCGUAGAUAUUAGGAAGAACACCGGUGGCGAAGGCGGCCCACUGGCCCGGUACUGACGCUGAGGCGCGAAAGCGUGGGGAGCAAACAGG
rnacentral:rRNA from 1 species